rnacentral:rRNA from 1 species
UACCAGCACCCCGAGUGGUCGGGACGAUUAUUGGGCCUAAAGCAUCCGUAGCCGGUUUUACAAGUCCUCCGUUAAAUCCAGCUGCUUAACAGAUGGGCUGCGGAGGAUACUAUAAGACUAGGAGGCAGGAGAGGCAAGCGGUACUCAGUGGGUAGGGGUAAAAUCCGUUGAUCCAUUGAAGACCACCAGUGGCGAAGGCGGCUUGCCAGAACGCGCUCGACGGUGAGGGAUGAAAGCUGGGGGAGCAAAC